AAGUGAGUGUUGAGUAAACAUUCUCUGUACACCUAGAGUUCUCCUGCUUUGACUGUGACCUCUGGAAAAUAUUUUACUAAAUUUUUUAAUAAACUAGAAUAAUUAUGAUGGAAAAAGUAAUUUUUCAGUAACUAACCAUACUUCUACUUGCUUCCCAGGACAACACCUCCCUGGGAACAAGCAAAUUAAGAGUAAGAUGUUUUGAAGAAAAAAAAAAAAAAAAGUAAGACAUUUGCAAGGAAUCAUGGGCUUAGAGCAUAGAAAUCAAAUUGUCUAAAAGGAGAUUUCAUCCACCAAAGGACCAUUUCAUGUUGAUAAUAAUAGAAUGCCUAAGGGAACAUGAAAUUAAAGGAUUCAUGAGAAACAACAUAACAUCAGAUGCUGCUCUAGAUAUUGGGGCUACAGAAGUGAACAAGAAGCCUGCCAUCAAGAAGUUCACAUAAUCUAGCAGGGGGACAAGACAUACACUCGCAAUUCACUGUGGGAAGUGCUCUGACAGAGGUGGCAACCACAGCAAACUCCCUUAAGGCAAGAAGAGCGAGUGGUCAAGCUCAGGCAGCAGACUGCAUCUCCUCUGCUUCCUGUUACUUCCUUCGUGGUAGGGGUAUGAUGCUCAGCACUUGUCGACUACAGUAGAUUCGUCCACAUAGUUUUCCAGCUUGUCAUCCAUGAGGCUGACUGGGUAUGUUUCACAGCUCACAAUUACAGAUUUAAGGAGACUGGGCUGGGAAGACCCACCAGGAAGGCUGUCAGGCCUUGGUCCCAGGGACCAGCACCACCUACCAGAAAAAUCUUGCAUUUGCGGGUGCGGGGCACUUAGCCAGCGAUUAUACAGCUGGUACUUCGUCUCCUCAUUCUAUUCCUGUCCGUGUGUCUACACCUUUCUUAGAAGGGAACCCCAGAAAAUAAAGGGCAAGUGGAAGGAUCAGGGUACCAAAACCCCACCAUAAAUUCUGACUGGUUUCACUGUAUUUCUGUUUUAAGUCAUCUCUCAGAGCUGAAACUUCAUGCCUCUCAAAAUCAUCU